CAACCCUCAAACCCCCUCUAUAUAGCUUGGCGUUAGGGUAUCUAUAAUUGACCGCAGGCUCUAAAAGAGAAUAGCGGCGCCCGCUAGUACUCCGAACGCAGUGGAUGUUUUUCUCGCCUAAGACGUCUAGCGGGCCGCCGGCCGUAAAACAGCCCCCAACCAUCGUAA
rnacentral:misc_RNA from 1 species